AAGUAGAACGCUGAAGAGAGGAGCUUGCUCUUCUUGGAUGAGUUGCGAACGGGUGAGUAACGCGUAGGUAACCUGCCUGGUAGCGGGGGAUAACUAUUGGAAACGAUAGCUAAUACCGCAUAAGAGUAGAUGUUGCAUGACAUUUGCUUAAAAGGUGCAAUUGCAUCACUACCAGAUGGACCUGCGUUGUAUUAGCUAGUUGGUGAGGUAACGGCUCACCAAGGCAACGAUACAUAGCCGACCUGAGAGGGUGAUCGGCCACACUGGGACUGAGACACGGCCCAGACUCCUACGGGAGGCAGCAGUAGGGAAUCUUCGGCAAUGGACGGAAGUCUGACCGAGCAACGCCGCGUGAGUGAAGAAGGUUUUCGGAUCGUAAAGCUCUGUUGUAAGAGAAGAACGAGUGUGAGAGUGGAAAGUUCACACUGUGACGGUAUCUUACCAGAAAGGGACGGCUAACUACGUGCCAGCAGCCGCGGUAAUACGUAGGUCCCGAGCGUUGUCCGGAUUUAUUGGGCGUAAAGCGAGCGCAGGCGGUUAGAUAAGUCUGAAGUUAAAGGCUGUGGCUUAACCAUAGUACGCUUUGGAAACUGUUUAACUUGAGUGCAAGAGGGGAGAGUGGAAUUCCAUGUGUAGCGGUGAAAUGCGUAGAUAUAUGGAGGAACACCGGUGGCGAAAGCGGCUCUCUG
rnacentral:rRNA from 1 species